rnacentral:rRNA from 1 species
UACGUAGGGGGCAAGCGUUGUCCGGAUUUAUUGGGCGUAAAGAGCGUGUAGGCGGCCAGAUAGGUCCGUUGUGAAAACUGGAGGCUUAAACCUCCAGCGGUCGAUGGAAACCAUCUGGCUAGAGUCCGGAAGAGGAGAGUGGAAUUCCGUGGAUGUAGCGGUGAAAUGCGCAGAUAUCAGGAAGAACACCCGUGGCGAAGGCGGCUCUCUGGGACGGUACUGACGCUGAGGAGCGAAAGCCAGGGGAGCAAACGGG